CCAUUUCCUUAAAUUGCUUCUGCCCUAUUUCCGUUCAAAAUUUGGACUCUUUCAUUAAAGGAAUCUUCUUCUACUGAUUGGUUUCUGAUUGAUAUUGGACUAUUUUCUUUCCUCGCCCACUUGCCUGAUUUCAAGUAAAAAUACCCUACUUGUUUUUGUUAAACACACGAACAAUUGGAGUUCAACACACACAAUUCAAUACACAGACUUCUGAAUUAGCAUAUACUACUACAUACUCUUUCUGCUACUACUUUCUCUACUGAGCACUCCGCUUCUUUUCUCUUUACUGUUGAAAAUGCUUCAGUACCUUUGAAUUCUCAAGUGUUUGCUGAAGUUCUGAGAUUGCUACUGCUAAUUUUCUAGUUGUUUUCUUGCUCUUGCUUGUCUUGCUGUACUAGAACUACAACUAGUAUGUCCCUCUAGUUAAAUAACACCCUCCAAACUAUGUGUUUGCUUCUUCUCUUCUGCUAUGCAUGUUUCCUCAUGUGUUCAUCCUAGUAUGUUAUGCCUCUUUCUUUAUGCCCCUUCAGUCUGUUAUGUUUUCUUAUCUUUCCUUCAUGUUCUGCAUAUGCUUCUCUAUGUAAGUCCCUUCCCUUUGACCCCUUUUUGUGUGCGUGAGUACUAUUCUGGGUCAUGGUAUAAUCCUAUUGCUAUCCAUGACUUAGGGCUAGGUUCCUUCGAACCUUUAUUCAAAUCAGUCCUCAUUCCUUUCUUCCCCUUUAUUGGCUGAGCCUUCACUAGAGCCUAGUGGUAUUCUAAUUACCAUCUGGGCACAGGUCUGACUUCAAAAGUCUUCUCUUUAUUCAUUUGGACCAAGCAAAGGGACAUGAGUGUGCUAGUCUAUGCCCAUGGAUGGGUAUGACCACCUUUUGUUGUGGUUCCUCUCUCACUUCACACAUACUCCUAGUUCCCAAGUUCUGCCCCCAUUUGGUAAGCCAUGCUUUGGGAUCCUAGAGUUCCCUCUAAACUUGGAUGCCUGAGGGCUGGCAUUUCCACACUGUACUACUUU
rnacentral:lncRNA from 1 species